rnacentral:rRNA from 1 species
CCUUCGCCGUUAGCGGCGAACGGGUGAGUAACAGAGGGCAACAAUGCCCCAAGCUCUGGGAUAACCUCCGGAAACGGGGACUAAUACCGGAUAUGACUCUUGAAGACAUCUUCUUGAGUGGAAAGUUUUUCGGCUUGGGAUGGGCCCGCGGCCUAUCAGCUUGUUGGUGGGGUAACGGCCUACCAAGGCGACGACGGGUAGCCGGCCUGAGAGGGCGACCGGCCACACUGGGACUGAGACACGGCCCAGACUCCUACGGGAGGCAGCAGUGGGGAAUAUUGCGCAAUGGGCGAAAGCCUGACGCAGCGACGCCGCGUGAGGGAUGAAGGCCUUCGGGUUGUAAACCUCUUUCAGCAGGGACGAAGCGAAAGUGACGGUACCUGCUUUUUAAGCACCGGCCAACUACGUGCCAGCAGCCGCGGUAAUACGUAGGGUGCAAGCGGUUGUCCGGGAAAUUAUUGGGCGUAAAGAGCUCGUAGGCGGUCUGUAGCGUCGGAUGUGAAAAAUCAGGGGCUCAACCCUGAGCCCUGCAGUAGAUACGGGCAGACUAGAGUCCGGCAGGGGAGACUGGAAUUCCCUGGGUGUAGCGGUGAAAUGCGCAGAUAUCAGGAGGAACACCGGUGGCGAAGGCGGGUCUCUGGGCCGGAACUGACGCUGAGGAAGCGAAAGCGUGGGGAGCGAACAAGGAAUAGAUACCCUGGUAGUCCACGCUCGUAAACGUUGGGCUUUUUUUUUAUUGGGGACCUUCCACGUCCUCCGUGCCGCCAGCUUAAAACGCAUUAAGCCGCCCCGCCUGGGGGAGUACGGCCGCAAGGCUAAAACUCAAAGGAAUUGACAGGGGGCCCGCCACAAGCGGCGGAGCAUGUGGCUUAAUUUCCGACGCAACGCGAAGAACCUUACACAGGGUUUUGACAUGUAUGGGGAAAUACCUCAAUAGAGAUAUGUUAAGGUCCGCAAGGGUCCUGCACAGGUGGUGCAUGGCUGUCGUCAGCUCGUGUCGUGAGAUGUUGGGGUAAAGUCCCCGCAACGAGCGCAACCCUCGUUCUAUUGUGGCCACCAGGUAAUGGCUGAGCACUCAUAGGAGACUGCCGGGGUCAACU